rnacentral:rRNA from 1 species
AUUGAACGCUGGCGGAAUGCUUUACACAUGCAAGUCGAACGGCAGCACGGGGCAACCUGGUGGCGAGUGGCGAACGGGUGAGUAAUACAUCGGAACGUGCCCAAUCGUGGGGGAUAACGUAGCGAAAGUUACGCUAAUACCGCAUACGAUCUACGGAUGAAAGCGGGGGAUCGCAAGACCUCGCGCGAAUGGAGCGGCCGAUGUCAGAUUAGGUAGUUGGUGGGGUAAAGGCUCACCAAGCCAACGAUCUGUAGCUGGUCUGAGAGGACGACCAGCCACACUGGAACUGAGACACGGUCCAGACUCCUACGGGAGGCAGCAGUGGGGAAUUUUGGACAAUGGGCGCAAGCCUGAUCCAGCCAUUCCGCGUGCAGGAUGAAGGCCUUCGGGUUGUAAACUGCUUUUGUACGGAACGAAACGGUCUGCCCUAAUACGGCGGGCUAAUGACGGUACCGUAAGAAUAAGCACCGGCUAACUACGUGCCAGCAGCCGCGGUAAUCU